rnacentral:lncRNA from 1 species
GGGUCCUCCACUGUAUGAUUCAUCCUAAUAUGAAGGAGAAUUUAAACACUGACCACUGCACCAAUUAAAUGAAUGCAUUAUCACUUUAUUUAUUUUUAAGGUUUUUUGCUUAUGUGAAAGGCAGAGUUACAGAGAGAGGGAGAGGCAAGACAGAGAGAGAAAGAGAUCUUCUAUCCACUGGUUCUCUUCUCAAAUGGAUGCAAUGGCUGAGGCUGGGCCUGGCCAAAGCCAGGAGCCUGGAACUCCAUCCUGGUGGUUUCAGGGGCCCAAACACUUGAGCCAUCCUCUGCAGCUUUCUUCAAGUGCAUUAGCAGAGGGCUAGAGAGUAAGUGGAAUAGCCAGUGUUCAUGUGGGCUGCUGAUGACACAGACUGUGGAUCAACCCGCUACACCACAGUGCUGGCCCCAGCAUCUAUCAUUUUAGUCAUCAAAUUUAUUUAUUUAUUUAUUUAUUUGUUUAUUUAUUUGAAUGUCAGAGACAGAGACAUUUCAUCUGUUGGUUCACUUCCCAAAUGCUCCCAACAACCCGGGCUGGACCAGGCCAAAGCCAGGAGCCAGGAAUUAAACUUGGGUCUGUCAAGUGCAUGGCAGGGACCCACGUACUGAAGCCAUCACCUGCUACCUCCCAGUGUGCAUAAUUACAGGAAGCUAAUGAAAUGACAUUUUGACAGUAGGGACUCCAAGACGGAGCACCCAAAACUCCUUGAGAAAGCAGCCUUCUCCCCCUGUUAGGUAGGAAGUCAGAUAUGAGCUUAUGUGUGUGUGACAGGCCUAAAGAGAAGACAUCUAUGUCCAGCAUAUGCAUCUGCAUCUCAAAGUCAUCCCGAUAACGUUUCAGGGGCAGCUCAGUAUUCACAUCCCGCCCUGCCCCUUUCUACCCAAUAACCUGCCAGGUGGUGGUGGUGGUGGGGUGGUCCCUGCCCCUUCUGCCUGACAAAUCUUCCACAAUCUCCCAGAUGCAGCCCAGUAUCUGUAUUGCAAACACCCUGCUCCGGAUCCCCAUUCUCCAGGGGUCUUGCUCACCCUUCCUCUAAAUAAGGACAGGUGCCAGCUAGCCGUCCUCUUGUCUGAUACCUUCAGGGGAAAACUCAGAUAGAAGUUUUUCUAUUUACAUCCAAAAAGCCCCUUGUUCCAAGAGGAGCAGAGGUGGGGAAGCAAGACCCAUCUUAAAAACCCCAGGCCUCAACCAGACUGUGCACUCAGCACUCUGCUUCUCUGCUGAGCCGCCCGCCUGGCCUGCUGUCAGGCUCUGUCUGGAGAGGUGCCCAUCCGUCCUAACGGAUGUCCCUUCCCUAAUAAACCUUGCUAUUUUACCUCCCA